AUUGAACGCUGGCGGCAGGCCUAACACAUGCAAGUCGAACGAGUGGCGGACGGGUUAGUAAUGUCUGGGAAACUGCCUGAUGGAGGGGGAUAACUACUGGAAACGGUAGCUAAUACCGCAUACCAGCCGAUGUGCACAGAUGGGAUUAGCUUGGUGGUGGGGUAAUGGUUCACCAGGGCGACGAUCGCGAGCUGGUCUGAGAGGAGGACCACACACAUUGGAACUGAGACACGGACCAGACUCCUACGGGAGGCAGCAGUGGGGAAUAUUGCACAAGGGGCGCACGACUGAUGCAGCCAUGACGCGUGGAUGAAGAGGGCCUUCGGGUUGUAAAGUACUUUCAGGGGGGAGGCGUUACCAGCAGAAGAAGCAUCGGCUAACUCCGUGCCAGCAGCCGCGGUAAUAC
rnacentral:rRNA from 1 species